UGGGGAAUUUUCCGCAAUGGGCGCAAGCCUGACGGAGCAAUACCGCGUGAGGGAGGAAGGCUUUUGGGUUGUAAACCUCUUUUCUCAAGGAAGAAACAAAUGACGGUACUUGAGGAAUCAGCAUCGGCUAACUCCGUGCCAGCAGCCGCGGUAAUACGGAGGAUGCAAGCGUUAUCCGGAAUUAUUGGGCGUAAAGCGUCCGCAGGUGGUAAUUCAAGUCUGCUGUCAAAGACCGAAGCUUAACUUCGGGCAGGCGGUGGAAACUGAAUCACUAGAGUACGGUAGGGGUAGAGGGAAUUUCCAGUGUAGCGGUGAAAUGCGUAGAGAUUGGAAAGAACACCAGUGGCGAAGGCGCUCUACUGGACCUGUACUGACACUCAGGGACGAAAGCUAGGGGAGCGAAAGGGAUUAGAUACCCCCGUAGUCC
rnacentral:rRNA from 1 species